rnacentral:lncRNA from 1 species
AAGUCCAAGUUCACUACCCUUAACCAUAUGGCCGGCCUUAGGGUGUUGUUUGGGCUUUUGGGCUAUUGUGAAUUAAGUUGUCAUACAACUUAAGUCAAUGGGCUUGACGUUCGAAGCCCAUUGGGCCUAAACGUCCAAAACUAUCCCGAGGUCUUUAACGAACUUAUUCGUUUGAUUAAUUAACAUAUUAAUUAAUCCUUGCCACAAAUAAUUAAACCAUUUAAUUAUUCUUACUCAUCUCCAUUGUUUCUUCAAUCUCCACCUUAUAUGGUGUACGAUCCAUUAGGUUCCUUUUAGCGAGGCAGUGGGCGAUUCAAACUCUUU